rnacentral:lncRNA from 1 species
AAUAUCCUGGUUCUUAUAAAAAUUUCUCCCAGUAUUUUUGGCAACAUAGAUGAUUCUUGCUUGUAUCAAUUAUGAUGAUAUUUACCAAAUGGUGAGUUUUUAAUUCCUUCUACAUAGAUUACCUGGCUUUCUACCAAAACAAAAGAUUUGUCUUCUCUCCAUUUACUUAGUCAUUUAUCUGUAUAAUUUAUAUAUUUAUUUUGACGCUUAAAUCAUCCCUAAUUUCAACAUCCCUAAUAUCCCUCUUCAAGCUCAGUUCUGUGUUCUUGUCAUUUCCCAGCAUUCUUUGAGGACUUUCUUCAUAAGAUGUUCCAGGCCCAUAUUAUACAUUCACUUCCCCAUUCCUGGAAUCAGCCACUUCUUCAAGAAGCUAUGGUUCCUCUCAAUGACAGUGGUAUUUAGAAGCCAAGACCUAUGCAUCAAAUGAGCUCAUUGCUAUUGGUAUGUCACUGGUCCCUGGCUCUUCCAGCUCUUUCAGUGGACAGACUGGAUACACACACACAAACACACACACACACGUGUGCAAAUAUGAUUUCACAUUCAUAAUCCACUUCCAAUCCAACGUCAUCACAGGGUUUAUUGUAGAUUUCUUUCUAUAUUUAUACCUCGAUUUUCUGACAGUUAGAAAUCUCCCUCAUCAAUAUAUACACCAGGGUAAACAGGUUCAGUUCUUACGUAUGUAACAAAUCCAUUCUGACACAAUCCCAGUGCAGAUCCCCUCCUCACCUUUCUCAGACUCUCACACUCCAUGCCUGGCCACCACCAUCACCCCCUGUUCAGACACCCUCUUCCUCUGCUCAGGGUAACAACCCUUCCCACCAGUGCAGCACUAAAUUGCUCUCACCCCCGGCUGCAUUUUCCAGGAAGGAAGCAAGCAAGCAAACCACAUUUUUUAAGUUAAACAUUUUAUCUAACUAAAAAAUUAAAACCUAGAUAUGCCAGACCUCACCAAAAUGUGAGUAAAAAUGAUUCCCAAGUUACAACAGCCCCUUUUCCUGCAGGUGUUCAAUUAGACGAUCUUACUCAUUUAUUUCAGGGUCUUCCAAUGAGAUUACAAACAGAUGUGCUGUUGGAAAGCUCUUUAGUUCUUUCCUUCUGUUUCAUGAGGAUUAAAAGCAGUUGUGUCCACCUAAGUGAAAAAAGAAUCACCUGGGAGCAUUUAAAAACCGAUGCACUAGGCCCACUCCAAAGUUUCCACCUUCAGUUAACCGCUGAUUUAAAGUGCUUUUUCUCUGUCAUUAAAAUAACGUGACCUAAACUUACUGUGAGAGGCAAAUACUAAGAUGGAAUCUAUGAUCUCUAUCUCUGAUGUCCUCCACCCCUAUACUCAUCUCCUUUCAAGUGUGGCUGGGACAAACUUCUAGCCAAUAGAACAUAGCAGAGGUGAAAGAAUUUUGCAGAUGCAGUGUAGGUUCCGAGUCAGUUGAUUUUGAACUAAUCAAAAAGGAGGUCAUUUUGGUUGGGCCUGACUUAAUUAGUUGAAAACCCUUAAAAGACUAACCUAGCCGUCCCCAAUGAGAAGGACUCUCUCUCCUUCCAACCAGAGGGAUCUUGGAAGACGAUCUUUCCCUCGCUGAUCCUCUGAAUGAGAAUGCAAUCUAACAAGUAGAUUUCAGCUUCAUGAGAUCCUGAACAGAGGACCCAGCCCCCUAACACCUGAUGCUGCCGUCCGCACCUGACUCAGUCAAACCAUUAUGGUCUACCUUCAAGAUGGGGCAAUCAGAUUCACAUGCUGCCUGGGAAUUUUGAUCAUAAACUGAGAGCUACCCACUGCAAUCUCGGGAGAGAUGAGGCAACUUGAUGACAAUACCUCGUUAUAACAUCGAGGAAUUCCUUGUCCCUGGAGCUGUUCUGGCAUUGCCCUUGCAGAAGCUUUGCCACCCUGCUCUUUCAUUGCCUUUGAGUACCAUGCUACCUUCUCAUAAAUCUCCUUUGUACUUAAGUAGGCCAAGGUCCAUUGCUUUCUAUUGCAUGUACCCAAAAUAACAUUAACAGAUACAAUAAGCUUGUUAGUGCUACACAGAGAGCUGUUCUUUGCCCAAGGACAGCACAUUUCAAUUUAGCCAGGUAUUUUUUAAAAAUCUGUGCCAGGAAGCAAAGUUGAAUCUGGACCAAAAAAAUAUACAUGAAUCAGUGAAAGUCCAUUAUCUGUUAUGGAAAAGCAAAAGAACACAUACAAAUGACUCUAACAGUGGAUUAUAACAUAAAAGCAUCCUUUUGUAUGUUAUGUAUAUGAGUUUUGAUUAUAAAGAGUUAUGCCUCAAUUCUUAAAUGUGUCGCAGAAGUGAUUUCAUUGCUAGUUAUAUCAUAUGUUUACCAUUUAUGAACAAAAUCUUUAUACGCUGCACAUCUGUGAGAAUUCCUUUUUUGUACGAUUUACCAAGAAAAAAAUGAAGGGAGAUAAAAUUAAUCCAUCUCUUACAUGUACUCCAGUUCACUCUAUAAAAUAAAAUGAAGGUGGUUGAAGAAGGCAAUUAUAAGAUUUCGUUUUCUCGCUAAGAAGCUCAAAGUACUUAUCUGUCGUUAUUCAAUUGAUUUUGUAGGAUCCCCUUGAGAGUUGUGGAAUACAGUUAUUUUAUAACCAGAGAAAUUAAUGCAGAAACACCACAUGCUGUGUUAACUGUAAGAGCAGGAUUAGGAAUCAUAUCCUCUGAGUUUAUAAAUUAUCAUUAGCCCAUUAAAUUAUGUGGAGUUCGUCCCAGUGCUGUACACUUUCUUCUUCCUAACUGUGCUUCCAAUGUAGCAAUGAACUAAAUGGCCAACCAUUUUAUGAACCUUCUGGUUUAAGGUAAAAGAAAUCAUUUAGUGUCAAUUAACUUCGUUCAUGGAUCGACCCCUGUCUUUACAAUUCCCUAUGAGAGCGGGUGGGUCACUGUUAAAAUGUCACAUGCAUAAUGACAGGCAAACCAUUUUAGAAGUUAGUCACUUUUUUUGGUCUUCUAUUAAACGUCUUGGCCUGGUAGUCUGUGUAUAUCUAUCAUAUCUUUCAAUGGCAUCUGCCUUUAAUUUUCCACAUUUACCAUCCACUCAGCCACACUGUUUUAUUUCCCAUGAGGUGAACAUUAUUAUCUUUUCCCACUUCCUUUCUUUACAUUUCUUAUUUUUUUCUGACUCAUGCUGUUUCUCCUGACAUAAUGACAUCUCCUUCUGCUGACUUGACCUAAAUCCUGUGUAUCCGACCUUCUCCAUAGGGUCUUCCCUGGAACUUCAAACUAAGCCAUUCCUCUCACUUGUAAAUUCAGGUCAGACUUGUCUCUCUGCUGUUAAGGGUGUUAGUACUGUUUACUUAACUUCUUCCUCAUCCCUUGAACAUGUAUUUAACCCUCAUUUUGUUACUUCCUGUACUGACAUCUCUUCUUCCCAAGGAGAUUAAAAUCUUCCCAGGACAGGAACAGUGACUUACCUGAUUCUAGCUCAGAUAACAUCCAGUGCAGUAUUUUGCAUUUACCAGGUAUUUAAAAAUGCACAGUGUGGAGUCUUGAUUAAUUUACUUAGCAUGCUUCAGCAAAUCUGAUGCUUUGGAAAGCAGAGGAAAUUUUAAAAUGCUUAAUUUGUACCUAUUAAUAAUAUAAAGGGGGACAAUUAAAUACUUCUAUAUUUAUAAAAUGAAGAAUGGUUCAUAAAAAUAUGAUUUUAGUUUGUAACGUCCUUACACUGAAUACUAUUCCAUUAGACAGCAAUUUAGUUUUCAUAUAGUGAGUUAAAUAGCACAAUCACUAGAAACUCCUUCAGAUUAAUAUUAAUCUUGAUUGUCUCGUAGUCUAAAGGAAGAUACCAUUUUUGUUUAUUGGGCAUUUUAUUCUGUUGUCUAUGCGGGCAGUCAUUGGCCUCUGUGUAAACAGCCAAGGGUUCUCCCCAAGCCUACUUUAAACCAUUAUUCUCUACCUGCUGUUUUGACCCACCCAUCCACAAUUGUUAUAACCUAUGCCUCGCCUAUUGUGUGGUAGAGAGCUGGUCAAGUUCAUGGUUUUUAGCCUUUGUAUACAAUGCUUAUUCCAGAGCACCCUAGACCACCUCGUUUCUCUGAGCUCCUUCUGCAUCUCACUCUAUUUCUUUACUCAAAAACAUAAACAUUCAGUUAAAUAAAUCUCUCUUGAGUUCUUAUUAGCAGCAGGGUACUGGACUAGCUGUUGCUAAUGAAUCUACUGCUGUGUCAAAAUAUUUAAAGAUUACAUUUUGAAAUGUAAUCUUUGAUCAAGCUACUCCACCCUAAGAUUUUAUCCUGAGGAAAUAAUCAGAAUUAGGCAAUAACAUUCAUGUACAGAGAUGUUCAUAAUAGCAUUAUUUGAAAUGUCAAAAUAUUUAAAACCAAAGCAAGAAAAUACUGCAUUUUCAUAAGCAGGAAACAACUUAUAAACAUCAAAGAACAUCGGAAAAGGAUAUUUUAUGACAAGAUAAAUGGGUACCACAUAUUGUGAUAUAGCAUGAUUUAUUAAAUCAUUUACUAUCACAUGCAAUAUGUCACACAUAAGUCAAGGCACUAGUUACAUGGCCAUAAAAAAGUAAAGAAGCACCUGCCCAGGUGAAGCUUACAUUCUCAUGAUGAAACAGAGACUAAAAGAUAAGAAAAUAACUACAUCGUAAAUAUCAGGCAGUGACAAAUAGAAUAAGGGGGAGCCUGACUCAGGAACUAUUUUUCAUGAUAGUCAAGUAAGAUAAAAUCAGUCAAGUGAAUACCUGAAAAAGAGUAUUUCACACAAAGCAAAUCUUAAAGAUUUGAUAUUA